UUCCUGUCUCCAUAAAUGAUAGCGGAAUCCUGUAAAACAUCAGGACGAGAUGUUGUCAAUCAGUGGACACUGGAGGACCACACAGGACAGAGGACAGUGACACCCCCAAAGCUCCAGGAACAGAUGCAUUUCCAUGUUAUUUGACUUGUGUAACACAUUGUUUUGUAGCAGCGGAGAAUGACUUGGGUCACGUGUCUGUCGGACAGUGAGCCUGUGAACAUGUUCCGAUGGAGCUCUGAGGUGAGACCUGUUCUCAGCAGGAACCGGAACGUUCCGUGGUUGCCGUGGUUACCGGAAUGUUCGUCUUCAAACUCACAUUGGAUCGGUCAGAGAAGCAGACAUCUCUACUCUCCCACGAAACCUUCAGACAGAUUCUCUGCCCCCAGAAGUCCACCAGAGACCAUCUGACGAAGUGUACAGAACCUUCUGCAGCACAGAAAUGGCCCGACGGUGCAGCUACACCAGCGUCCAGAUCCCGGACCCUCACCGGCCCGGCAUCCUGCGGACCAUCCUCAGGAUCAGAGGACCGGCCUCCCUGAUCGGCACCUCACCCGGUCCCCCACCUGACUGCGACCCCAGCAGCUGGGAUACUGCCCCUCCAUCCAGGAGCUCGGCGAGUCAACGCUUAACGUGGAGGACUUUCUCCAUCCUGGACCCCAACCGGCCCGGCAUCCCUCGGCUCAUCCUCCGUAGGUUCCCAGUCUCAAAACCCACGACUGGCUCCUCCACUAAAUCUUUCUGUAGCAUCCCCCCAAUUUCCACCCUAAGGCGACUUAAGAGAAGUGCCUCUAAUCCACUUCAACGACCAGGUAAGUCUUUCAGGGUAAGUCCUCCUGAACCACCUCAGGGACCAGGUAAGACUUUAAGGGUAAGUCCUCCUGAACCAAUAAUGAAAAGGAGCUGUGAUCGAGUGGAGUUCGUAAACCAGUUUAAAAGCUGGUGGAGCAACAGAUUCCCAGGAACUCUGGGUAAUGUUAAACACCAGGAAAAAGGUAUGUCUUAUAAGGUAAGGCCCUCUAGACGCCUCCAUGGACCAGGUGAACCUUUAAAAGUCAGGCUCCCAAAACCGCCACCUGGGGAACCUUUAAAGGUAAGUUCCCCUAAACCUCCUCAGGGACCUUGCAAACCUUUGAAGGUAAGUCCCCCUAAGCCUCCUCAGGGACCUUGCAACCCUUUGAAGGUAAGUCCCCCUAAGCCUCCUCAGGGACCUUGCAACCCUUUGAAGGUAAGUCCCCCUAAGCCUCCUCAGGGACCUUGCAACCCUUUGAAGGUAAGUCCCCCUAAACGUCCUCAGGGACCUGGGGAACCAUUGCAGGUAAGUCCCCCUAAACCUCCUCAGGGACCUGGGGAACCAUUGCAGGUAAGUCCCCCUAAACCUCCUCAGGGACCUUGCAACCCUUUGAAGGUAAGUCCCCCUAAACGUCCUCAGGGACCUGGGGAACCAUUGCAGGUAAGUCCCCCUAAACCUCCUCAGGGACCUGGGGAACCAUUGCAGGUAAGUCCCCCUAAACCUCCUCAGGGACCUGGGGAACCAAUCCAGGUAAGUCCCUCUAAACCUCCUCAGGGACCUGGGGAACCAUUGCAGGUAAGUCCUGGUGAGUGUCGGCCGU
ensembl:lncRNA